ensembl:lncRNA
CAGGGAUCCUACAGCAGUUUGGGGUGGGAGGGAGCCUCCAAUGGGGAAUGGGUUGGGAGGGAUCAUCCAUCAUGGAAUGGGUUGGAAGGGACCAUCUAUCAUGGAAUGGGUUGGAAGGGAUCCUCAUGGAAUGGGUUGGAAGGGAUCAUCUAUCAUGGAAUGGGUUGGGAGGGAUCCUCAUGGAAUGGGUUGGAAGGGAUCAUCUAUCAUGGAAUGGGUUGGAAGGGAUCCUCAUGGAAUGGGUUGGAAUGGAUCAUCUAUCAUGGAAUGGGUUGGAAGGGACCCUCAUGGAAUGGGUUGGAAGGGACCCUCAUGGAAUGGGUUGGAAUGGAUCAUCCAUCAUGGGAUGGGUUGGAAGGGAUCCUCAUGGAAUGGGUUGGAAGGGACCAUCUAUCAUGGGAUGGGUUGGAAGGGAUCAUCUAUCAUGGAAUGGGUUGGAAGGGACCCUCAUGGAAUGGGUUGGAAGGGACCAUCUAUCAUGGAAUGGGUUGGAAGGGAUCCUCUAUCAUGGAAUGGGUUGGAAGGGAUCCUCUAUCAUGGAAUGGGUUGGAAGGGAUCAUCUAUCAUGGAAUGGGUUGGAAGGGACCCUCAUGGAAUGGGUUGGAAGGGACCAUCUAUCAUGGAAUGGGUUGGAAGGGAUCCUCUAUCAUGGAAUGGGUUGGAAGGGAUCCUCUAUCAUGGAAUGGGUUGGAAGGGACCAUCUAUCAUGGGAUGGGUUGGAAGGGAUCAUCCAUCAUGGAAUGGGUUGGAAGGGAUCAUCUAUCAUGGAAUGGGUUGGAAGGGAUCAUCUAUCAUGGAAUGGGUUGGAUGGGAUGUUAAGCUCAGCUUGGUGCCUCUCUUGCAGCCGGAUGGGAUGCAGAGCUCCGUGAGUGCCUUUUCCUGCCCCUUUAUCCCUAUGGAUGCGCUCCGGGGUCGGAUCCUUGCCCUCACAUCCCCUUUGCUGAAGGAGGACCCCGGUGAGUGCCCAGCCCCAUUGCCCAUUCCCAACCAGUUCUGUUCCCCUUUGUCCCAUGCAGAGAGCGACGUGGAACUGGGAAUGCUCCCGGAGCAGGGAACGGGCUCCCUGCCAUCCUGCAGCAUUCCCAAGCUUUGUGGCUCUCUCCUAGAGGGAUGUGACAUGGAGAACGGUGAACUCACAGCAGAGAUAGCAGAGAGCCUGAGCUCCCAGCUGGAGGAACGGGACAGGAGGAUCAGCAAACUCACAGCGGAGCUGGGUGAACGGGAUGCCAGGAUCAGUAAGUGGAAUUCCCCCUUGGAUGGGGGGAAACAGAGGGGCAAAUCCUAUUGGGAAUAUGGGAAUAGCAUCCACAGCCUGGAAUUCCAGGGUCCAAGCUCCAGGUGAUGCUGGGCUGGGAAUAGCAGCAUUCCCAAGUGCAAUGCCAGGAAUAGGGAAUAGGGAAUCCCUUAGUAACCAUUUCCUCCUUUGCUUCCCAGAGGAACGCGACCGGAAAACCAGUGAGUAUAUCCAUGUGUUUUUGGGGUGAAAACACCCGAAUUGGGGCAAAUCUGGGUGGAAAAAGCACCAAAUGGGAUCAUUCCCCCAUAGAUCUCAGCCUAAGCUUUGGCUUUUCCCUAUAUCCCCCCCAUAUAACUGGGAAUUCCCUUUCCCUCCUCAGCCAGACUCGCUGCCGAAGUCCGUGAGUGCUUUUCCCUCUUUUCCAUCCCAAAUCCCAGCUCUUUUUGGGCUCAGAAACGUCCCUUUUGGGUCACUCUGAUGCCUCUUCUUUGCCUCCGGUCCCAAGGGCGCCUCACUGCUCUGCUGGGUAAGUGUGCUUCACGCUCCCAUUCCCGGUGUAUGGAUGCAUGGAAUGACAUGGGAUGAGCCCUGCUCCCACCUCUUGUCCUUUGGGAAGAGGGAUGAACCCCCCCAAAACGCUGGAUUUGAGCCUUUUCCCUUCCUUUUCCAUGCAGGAGACCGGGAUUCGAGGCUCCGUAAGUGCUUCUGUGCUCAAUCCAUGUCCCAUUCCCAACGGAUCUCCUCUCCUGGGCACCAAUUCCCACAGUUUUCCAGUGUUUCUGUAUCCCAAACCUCCCAUUGCCCCCAAUGGGCAUUGCUGGGAUGCUGCUUUUCCUCCCUGCUCUAGUCCCUAUUCCCUCUUCCCUGUUUUCCACUAUCCAUGGGGUUAUUCCCAUUGUGCCCGGAGAGGAGAUGGGAAUGCUGACCUCAAUAUCCUUCUCUUUCCCCUUUUCCAGGGAAACUCACUGCAGAACUCAGUGAGUAACAUUCCUGCCUGGAAAAGAGGGGAAAAGGGGGAAAAGGACCUGGAAAACUGAUGGGAAUCUCCUAUUCCUUCCCUUUGUCCUAGCUAAAUGUGAUGCGACCAUCAGUAAGUGCUCCAGGGAUCUGGAAUUCCUGCCUUUGGGAAGGCCGGAUCCGAAGGUCAAGGGGAGGGGAGAGGGAAAGGGAGAAUUCCCAUGGGAAGAGGUGAGCU